CCUACGGGAGGCUGCAGUCGAGAAUCAUUCACAAUGGGGGAAACCCUGAUGGUGCGACGCCGCGUGGGGGAGCGAAGGUCUUCGGAUUGUAAACCCCUGUCAAGUGGGAGCAAAUUAAAAAGAUAGUACCACUAGAGGAAGAGACGGCUAACUCUGUGCCAGCAGCCGCGGUAAUACAGAGGUCUCAAGCGUUGUUCGGAAUCACUGGGCGUAAAGCGUGCGCA
rnacentral:rRNA from 1 species